AGCGAACGCUGGCGGCAGGCCUAACACAUGCAAGUCGAACGGACCCUUCGGGGUUAGUGGCGGACGGGUGAGUAACACGUGGGAACGUGCCUUUAGGUUCGGAAUAGCUCCUGGAAACGGGUGGUAAUGCCGAAUGUGCCCUUCGGGGGAAAGAUUUAUCGCCUUUAGAGCGGCCCGCGUCUGAUUAGCUAGUUGGUGGGGUAAUGGCCCACCAAGGCUACGAUCAGUAGCUGGUCUGGGAGGAUGACCAGCCACAUUGGGACUGAGACACGGCCCAAACUCCUACGGGAGGCAGCAGUGGGGAAUCUUGCGCAAUGGGCGAAAGCCUGACGCAGCCAUGCCGCGUGGAUGAUGAAGGUCUUAGGAUUGUAAAAUCCUUUCACCGGUGAAGAUAAUGACUGUAGCCGGAGAAGAAGCCCCGGCUAACUUCGUGCCAGCAGCCGCAGUAAAAC
rnacentral:rRNA from 1 species